GAAUCAACGCUGGCGGCGUGCCUCAGACAUGCAAGUCGAACGAGAACCUCCCUUCGGGGAGGAGACAGUGGCGCACGGGUGAGUAACACGUGGGUAAUUUACCUUUGGGUGGGGAACAACAGCCGGAAACGGCUGCUAAUACCGCAUAAUGCAGCGGCUCGACAUCGAGACAGUUGUUAAAGCGGGGGAUCGCAAGGCCUCGCGCCUGAAGAGAAGCCUGCGGCGGAUUAGCUAGUUGGUAGGGGUAAUGGCCUACCAAGGCGACGAUCUGUAACCGGCCUGAGAGGGCGGUCGGUCACACUGACACUGACAUACGGGUCAGACUCCUACGGGAGGCAGCAGUCGGGAAUUUUGGGCAAUGGGCGAAAGCCUGACCCAGCAACGCCG
rnacentral:rRNA from 1 species